rnacentral:rRNA from 1 species
CUACGAAGGGGGCUAGCGUUGUUCGGAAUUACUGGGCGUAAAGCGCGCGUAGGCGGACUGAUCAGUUGGGGGUGAAAUCCCAGGGCUUAACCCUGGAACUGCCUCUAAUACUGUCAGUCUUGAGUUCGGGAGAGGUGAGUGGAAUUCCUAGUGUAGAGGUGAAAUUCGUAGAUAUUAGGAAGAACACCAGUGGCGAAGGCGGCUCACUGGCCCGAUACUGACGCUGAGGCGCGAAAGCGUGGGGAGCAAACAGGAUUAGAAACCCUAGUAGUCC